rnacentral:rRNA from 1 species
UACGAAGGGGGCUAGCGUUGCUCGGAAUUACUGGGCGUAAAGCGCACGUAGGCGGCUUUCUAAGUCGGGGGUGAAAUCCUGGAGCUCAACUCCAGAACUGCCUUCGAUACUGGAAGCUCGAGUCCGGGAGAGGUGAGUGGGAACUGCGAGUGUAGAGGUGAAAUUCGUAGAUAUUCGCAAGAACACCAGUGGCGAAGGCGGCUCACUGGCCCGGUACUGACGCUGAGGUGCGAAAGCGGAUGGGGAGCAAACGGGGG